GAUGAACGCUGGCGGCGUGCCUAAUACAUGCAAGUCGAGCGAACAGACGAGGAGCUUGCUCCUCUGACGUUAGCGGCGGACGGGUGAGUAACACGUGGAUAACCUACCUAUAAGACUGGGAUAACUUCGGGAAACCGGUGCUAAUACCGGAUAAUAUAUUGAACCGCAUGGUUCAAUAGUGAAAGACGGUUUUGCUGUCACUUAUAGAUGGAUCCGCGCCGCAUUAGCUAGUUGGUAAGGUAACGGCUUACCAAGGCAACGAUGCGUAGCCGACCUGAGAGGGGGAUCGGCCACCCGGGAACGGAGACACCGGCCAGAGUCCUACGGGAGGGAGCAGUAGGGAAUCUUCCGCAAUGGGCGAAAGCCUUACGGAGCAACGCCGCGUGAGUGAUGAAGGUCUUCGGAUCGGAAAACUCUGUUAUUAGGGAAGAACAAAUGUGUAAGUAACUAUGCACGUCUUGACGGUACCUAAUCAGAAAGCCACGGCUAACUACGUG
rnacentral:rRNA from 1 species